UACAGAGGGGGCAAGCGUUAUUCGGAAUUAUUGGGCGUAAAGAGCUCGUAGGCGGUCUGUCACGUCGGCUGUGAAAACCCGAGGCUCAACCUCGGGCCUGCAGUCGAUACGGGCAAACUAGAGUACUGCAGGGGAGACUGGAAUUCCUGGUGUAGCGGUGAAAUGCGCAGAUAUCAGGAGGAACACCGGUGGCGAAGGCGGGUCUCUGGGCAGUAACUGACGCUGAGGAGCGAAAGCGUGGGGAGCGAACAGG
rnacentral:rRNA from 1 species